rnacentral:rRNA from 1 species
AUGCAAGUCGAACGGUAACAGGGAGCUUGCUCCGCUGACGAGUGGCGAACGGGUGAGUAAUAUAUCGGAACGUGCCCUAGAGUGGGGGAUAACGUAGCGAAAGUUACGCUAAUACCGCAUACGAUCUACGGAUGAAAGUGGGGGAUCGCAAGACCUCAUGCUCAUGGAGCGGCCGAUAUCUGAUUAGCUAGUUGGUAGGGUAAAAGCCUACCAAGGCUUCGAUCAGUAGCUGGUCUGAGAGGACGACCAGCCACACUGGGACUGAGACACGGCCCAGACUCCUACGGGAGGCAGCAGUGGGGAAUUUUGAACAAUGGGGGCAACCCUGAUCCAGCAAUGCCGCGUGAGUGAAGAAGGCCUUCGGGUUGUAAAGCUCUUUUGUCAGGGAAGAAACGGUGGGGGCUAAUAUCCUCUGCUAAUGACGGUACCUGAAGAAUAAGCACCGGCUAACUACGUGCCAGCAGCCGCGGUAAUACGUAGGGUGCAAGCGUUAAUCGGAAUUACUGGGCGUAAAGCGUGCGCAGGCGGUUGUGCAAGACAGAUGUGAAAUCCCUGGGCUCAACCUAGGAAUUGCAUUUGUGACUGCACGGCUAGAGUGUGUCAGAGGGGGGUAGAAUUCCACGUGUAGCAGUGAAAUGCGUAGAUAUGUGGAGGAAUACCGAUGGCGAAGGCAGCCCCCUGGGAUAACACUGACGCUCAUGCACGAAAGCGUGGGGAGCAAACAGGAUUAGAUAC